GAGUUUGAUCGUGGCUCAGGACGAACGCUGGCGGCGUGCCUAAUACAUGCAAGUCGAGCGAGUCUCUUCGGAGGCUAGCGGCGGACGGGUGAGUAACACGUAGGCAACCUGCCUCUCAGACCGGGAUAACAUAGGGGAAACUUAUGCUAAUACCGGAUAGGUUUUUGGAUUGCAUGAUCCGAAAGAAAGAUGGCUUUCGCUAUCACUGGGAGAUGGGCCUGCGGCGGCAUUAGCUAGUUGGUGGGGUACGGCCUACCAAGGCGACGAUGCGUAGCCGACCUGAGAGGGUGACCGGCCGACACUGGGACUGAGACACGGCCCAGACUCCUACGGGAGGCAGCAGUAGGGAAUUUUCC
rnacentral:rRNA from 1 species